UGUACCGAAUAAUCUCUCUUUAAAUUUAAAAGCACAAAUCAGUAAAUUUAUUAUUGAUUCUUUGUGAUAUAUUUUUUAAUGAUAUUUUUCGCUAAUCAUAAAUAUUCUGCGCGAUUUCCGCGAUUUCUUCGUCGUCAUUUCAGUGAAACAAUACAUAUUUAAAUGUAGAGCUAAUUUAGGAAUAUCGGCAACUCCUCAGUGCGUCGCGAAGGAAGUCGCUGCAUCGUUGUUCGAGAAGGUCCUUCGAUCAAUGGCUCUUGAAAAAAAACGGCGACGCCAAAACGGAGCAUCAGUUUUCGCGCGGGAAUAAGCUCUCGCGAUUCUCGCGUUUUAAUACGUCGAAAAUGUGAUAUUAAAACCCGGGCGUCGCCGCGCGUCGCAAACGAAAAAAAGUAACGCGAGUGCAAGUGUUUCAAAGCUUCUAGGAGAAAAAAUAGUUACGGCAAGGAACCUGGAGUACGUCGAGAUUGGAGAAGAAAAUAAUCGAAAUAUGAACUUGCUGAAGAGCUUUAGGAGAACUGGAGAGCUUUAAACCAUAGGAGACGAAGGAACUCUGGAAGUUACAUCGGGCGCCAGCGGAGCAACCCUAGGAUAGCAACGUAGUUUCGUUAUUAACUCCGCUGCUGCGCAUCGGUUGGUGAGUGCUAAUUUUAUUAUUAGAUAGAUUCGUACAUAUUUGAUU